rnacentral:lncRNA from 1 species
AAAACCCUAAUCUUUGGACUGGUUUGGAACAAAAUCUUGGAGUGAACUUGUUAGUUGAUGUUUUUGAUAUUAAACACUUACCAAAGGUAUCAUGGAUGUAUCUUAGACCCUUAUUUCACAAAUGAACCAUGGUUGGAUAACUUUCUUGGUUAAACGAUUGGAAAUUUGGAAAAUGAAAGUCAAAGGCAGAUUGCCUUAGGAUUUUUCUUGAACUUUGGUUGGCUAAUUAACGACCUUGCCGAAGGUAUUUUUCCCCAAAAUUCGAUAGAGAGAUACCUUCCACAUAGUAUUGAAAUACUGCCAAUUUUGGUGCCGA